ACCUGGGUGGCUCAGUUGGUUAAGCAUCUGACUUUGGCUCAGGUCAUGAUCUCAUGGUUUGUGAGUUUGAGCCUCGCCUCGCGUU
rnacentral:tRNA from 1 species